UUUGAAUGUAAGUUUGUGCCCUGAUUAUUAUUAGUUAUGGUCUUGAAAAUUAAAAAAUUUGGCGGUAUUUUAGUCUGUUCAGAGGAACCUGUUUCUUAAUUGAUGAUCCACGAUAAUUUUUACUUUAGCUUUAAAUUUAUAUAUCGUUGUUUAUAAAAAUUUUAGUAGGAUGAUAAUUUUUUUGAUUUUUUAUUAAAAAUUAUUUCAGAUCAAGGUAUAGUUUAUGUUAAGGAUGACAUGGGUUACAUUAAAUUUAUUUUUGGUUUCUUUAAUUUAAAAUUUUGAAUAAAUUGGAUUUGAUAGUAAAUUAUUUAUUUUUGAUAGUUGAUUUAGCUCUAAAAUAUGC
rnacentral:rRNA from 1 species